rnacentral:rRNA from 1 species
ACAGGGAUUGCCUCAGUAACGGCGAGUGAAGCGGCAAAAGCUCAAAUUUGAAAUCUGGCUCCUUUGGGGGUCCGAAUUGUAAUUUGCAGAGGACGCCUCGGGUUCGGCUCCGGUCUAAGUUCCUUGGAACAGGACGUCACAGAGGGUGAGAAUCCCGUAUGUGAUCGGUCGCCGUCCCCAUGUGAGGCUCCUUCGACGAGUCGAGUUGUUUGGGAAUGCAGCUCUAAAUGGGAGGUAAAUUUCUUCUAAAGCUAAAUACUGGCCAGAGACCGAUAGCGCACAAGUAGAGUGAUCGAAAGAUGAAAAGCACUUUGGAAAGAGAGUCAAAAAGUACGUGAAAUUGUUGAAAGGGAAGCGCUUGCUACCAGACUUGCCCGCGGUUGCUCAACCGGCCUUCUGGCUCGGUGCACUCUUCCGCGGGCAGGCCAGCGUCGGUUCGGGCGGUCGGAUAAAAGUCCGGGGAAUGUGGCUCCCUCCGGGGAGUGUUAUAGCCCCGUUCACAAUGCGACCCGUCCGGACCGAGGACCGCGCUUCGGCUAGGAUGCUGGCGUAAUGGUAGUAAGCGGCCCGUCUUGAAACACGGACCAAGGAGUCUAACAUCUAUGCGAGUGUUUGGGUGUCAAACCCAUGCGCGGAAUGAAAGUGAACGGAGGUGGGAACCUUAGGGUGCACCAUCGACCGAUCCUGAUGUCUUCGGAAGGAUUUGAGUAAGAGCAUAGCUGUUGGGACCCGAAAGAUGGUGAACUAUGCCUGAAUAGGGUGAAGCCAGAGGAAACUCUGGUGGAGGCUCGCAGCGGUUCUGACGUGCAAAUCGAUCGUCAAAUUUGGGCAUAGGGGCGAAAGACUAAUCGA